UAUUCCGCAAUGGAGGAAAGUCUGACGGAGCAACGCCGCGGGAGUGAGGAAGGCUUUCGGGUCGUAAAACUCUGUUGUUAGGGAGGAACAAGUGCUAGUUGAAUGAGCUGGCACCUUGACGGUACCUAACCAGAAAGCCACGGCUAACUACGUGCCAGCAGCCGCGGUAAUACGUAGGUGGCAAGCGGUAUCCGGAAUUAUUGGGCGUAAAGCGCGCGCAGGUGGUUUCUUAAGUCUGAUGUGAAAGCCCACGGCUCAACCGUGGAGGGUCAUUGGAAACUGGGAGACUUGAGUGCAGAAGAGGAGAGUGGAAUUCCAUGUGUAGCGGUGAAAUGCGUAGAGAUAUGGAGGAACACCAGUGGCGAAGGCGACUUUCUGGUCUGUAACUGACACUGAGGCGCGAAAGCGUGGGGAGCAAACAGG
rnacentral:rRNA from 1 species